AAGAAAAAGAGGAGCCGGUAUCAGGCUCAAAAUGCCCAUGACACCUAGCCCCGCCACACCCCCAAGGGUAUUCAGCAGUGAUCAACAUUGUAAACUAGCGCAAGCUAAAUUCAGUUACUAGCUAAAAAAACCGGUCAAUCUCGUGCCAGCCACCGCGGUUAUACGGGCAGGUUUAAAUUGAUAACAUCGGCACAAAGCGUGGUUAGAUUAAAACCUUAAUAAAGCAAAAAUUAAGCCUGGCUGUGAUAUGCUUUCGCUUUUAAUAACCUCAAUUACGAAAGUAGCUUUAACUCCUAUUGAACCCACGAUCGCUAGGGCACAAACUGGGAUUAGAUACCCCACUAUGCCUAGCCCUAAACUUUGAUUACUCCGCCUGGGAACUACGAGCGUCAGCUUAAAACCCAAAAGACUUGGCGGUGCCCUAUACCACCUAGAGGAGCCUGUUCUAUAAUCGAUAAUCCCCGAUUCACCUCACCAUCUCUUGCCAAUACCGCCUGUAUACCUCCGUCGCCAACUGACCCCUUAAGGGAAAUAGUCGGUUAAAUGGCCUUAUUCCAGUAAGUCAGGUCAAGGUGCAGCGAAUGAGAUGGGAAGAAAUGGGCUACAUUUUCUACUAAUAGACUAUACGAAAGAUCAUUAUGAAAUCUGAUUGGAAGGUGGAUUUAGCAGUAAAAAGAGACUAGAGCGCUCUUUUUAAGUUGGCUCUAGGGCGCGCACACACCGCCCGUC
rnacentral:rRNA from 1 species